GAGCAGAUGAUGAUACACAUGAAACAACAACUACCACUGAGUUGUAAUGCAUGAUGUUACAAAUUCGAGCUUUUUAAAACUGAUGCUCC
rfam:Spinacia oleracea cultivar SynViroflay scaffold18701.con0005.1, whole genome shotgun sequence.